rnacentral:rRNA from 1 species
GAUGAACGCUAGCGGCAGGCCUAAUACAUGCAAGUCGAACGGGCGGUAUCAAUCCCGCUCGUCGUGCACGGGCGCGUAACGCGUUACCUACCUGCCCAGUUCUGGGCGAUAGCCCGCCGAAAGGCGGAUUAAUACCGCAUAAACCCACACUGUGGCUACUCACACUGGGUAAUGAUUUAUCCGUUCUGGCUGGGGUUGCGUAGCAUUAGCUAGUGGGCGAGGUAAUGGCCCGCAAAGACGACGAUGCUUAGGGGACCUGAGAGGGUGACCCCCCGCACUGGGACAGGGAUACGAGCCAGACUCGUGCGAGAGGCAGGAGUAGGGAAUAAAGGGCAGAGAGCGAGAGCGUGACCCGGCCAGGCCGCGUGGAGGAUGAAGGCCUUCUGGGUUGUAGACGGCUUUGCACAGAGAAGAAGACGGGGACGCGUCCUCAACUGACGGUACCUGAGGAGUAAGCACCGGCUAACUCCGUG